AUGUACAUUCCUACAUCAUAGUUUUAAUGCAUUGGAUCCCAUUAGAACUUCAUAGUUAAGCGCGCUCGAGCUAGAGUAGUCUUGGGAUGGGUGACCGCUUGGGAAGUCCUAGUGUUUUACAUG
rnacentral:rRNA from 1 species